UACGGGGGGGGCAAGCGUUGUUCGGAAUUACUGGGCGUAAAGGGCGCGUAGGCGGUUUGCUAAGUUGAAUGUGAAAACUCUGGGCUUAACCCAGAGCCUGCAUUCAAUACUGGCGGGCUAGAGUUCUGGAGGGGAUAGCGGAAUUCCUGGUGUAGCGGUGAAAUGCGUAGAUAUCAGGAGGAACACCGGUGGCGAAGGCGGCUAUCUGGACAGAGUCUGACGCUGAGGCGCGAAAGCUAGGGGAGCAAACAGG
rnacentral:rRNA from 1 species